UACGUAGGGGGCAAGCGUUGUCCGGAAUCAUUGGGCGUAAAGCGCGCGUAGGCGGCCCGGUAAGUCCGUUGUGAAAGUCAAAGGCUCAACCUUUGAACGCCGAUGGAUACUGCCGGGCUAGAGUCCGGAAGAGGCGAGUGGAAUUCCUGGUGGUAGCGGUGGAAUGCGCAGAUAUCAGGAGGAACACCAAUAGCGAAGGCAGCUCGCCGGGACGGUACUGACGCUGGAGGCGCGAAAGCGUGGGGAGCGAACAGG
rnacentral:rRNA from 1 species